UGCUAAACACUAAGCCCAGCCCACAACCCAAACAAACCACACAUAUUAUAACCCAAAACAUUUGACACAAUUAGUAAAUGCGAUUAAACAUUGCCCCGGCGCAAUAGAGACAAGUACCGCAAGGGAACUGUGAAAUAAUAAUGAAACAACAAAAGCAACAAAAAGCAAUGUUUAACCCAUGUACCUCUUGCAUCAUGGUUUUGCAAGUCCACUAUGAGUACAACGAAUUACAAUUCACCACCCCGAAAAAAAGUGAGCUAUUUUAGAGCAGCAUUACGUGCGAACCCGUCCCUGUAGCAAAAGGGUGGGAUGACUUCAAAAUAGAGGUGAAAAGCCUACCGAACUUUUAUAUAGCUGGUUGCUCACUAAAUGAAUACAAGUUCAGCUUCAAACAGUACAGACAAAGUAUAGUAAAAACAGUUUGAAAGUAAUUCAAUUGAGGUACAGCUCACUUGAAUAUGGAAACAACCUUCACCGAGAGACACGAUUAUGUCACUACCACGCGUAAGCCCUAAAGCAGCUACCAACACAUCACCGCGUCAAAGCGCCACAAAAUAAAUUAGUACAUAAAUCCCCACCUCCGAAACACCUACUGAGCCACCCCAUACACCUAUGGGGGCACCAAUGCCAAAACUAGUAAACUGGAUACACCUCUUCGCACGCCCUAACACUAAAUAAUAGUACAUAUUAGACCCACCACCGGCAAAAAUAUACAUCCACAAGCCACACUAUUAAUUACACUAUUACCCCAACACAGGAGUGCAUGAAAGAAUGAUAAAACACUGUAAAAGGAACUCGACAACCACUAAUCCCAACUGUUUACCAAAAACAUAGCCUUUAGCCAAAAAAGUAUUAAAGGUCCCGCCUGCCCAGUGACACACGUUCAACGGCCGCGGUAUCCUAACCGUGCAAAGGUAGCGUAAUCAUUUGUUCUUUAAAUAAGGACCUGUAUGAAUGGCUACAUGAGGAUUAACUUGUCUCUUACACUGAAUCGAUGAAACUGAUCCCCCAGUCCAAAAGCUGGGAUAUUCACAUAAGACGAGAAGACCCUGUGGAGCUUUAAACUGCCUACCACACAACUUGACCUGGCAUGUUUUUAGUUGGGGCGACUUUGGAUACAAACAAAACAUCCAAACACAAAACCCAAGGCUUACACGCCACCGCACCACCACCUGACCCAAUAAAAUUGAGCAAUGGACCAAGUUACCCCAGGGAUAACAGCGCAAUCUUCUUCUAGAGUCCCUAUCGACAAGAAGGUUUACGACCUCGAUGUUGGAUCAGGAUACCCAAAUAGUGCAGCCGCCAUUAAAGGUUCGUUUGUUCAACGAUUAAUAUCCUACGUGAUCUGAGUUCAGACCGGAGUAAUCCAGGUUGGUUUCUAUCUAUGACUGCCUGCUCCCCAGUACGAAAGGACCGGGACAAGGGGGCCAAUAAAACAUCUACGCCCCAAAAUACCAGCUGACAAAUAACUAAAGCUGCCAAAGCAACAAUUAAAUAGGAAAUCACUAAUACC
rnacentral:rRNA from 1 species